rnacentral:rRNA from 1 species
AUAUUUUGAACCGCAUGGUUCAAAAGUGAAAGACGGUCUUGCUGUCACUUAUAGAUGGAUCCGCGCUGCAUUAGCUAGUUGGUAAGGUAACGGCUUACCAAGGCAACGAUGCAUAGCCGACCUGAGAGGGUGAUCGGCCACACUGGAACUGAGACACGGUCCAGACUCCUACGGGAGGCAGCAGUAGGGAAUCUUCCGCAAUGGGCGAAAGCCUGACGGAGCAACGCCGCGUGAGUGAUGAAGGUCUUCGGAUCGUAAAACUCUGUUAUUAGGGAAGAACAUAUGUGUAAGUAACUGUGCACAUCUUGACGGUACCUAAUCAGAAAGCCACGGCUAACUACGUGCCAGCAGCCGCGGUAAUACGUAGGUGGCAAGCGUUAUCCGGAAUUAUUGGGCGUAAAGCGCGCGUAGGCGGUUUUUUAAGUCUGAUGUGAAAGCCCACGGCUCAACCGUGGAGGGUCAUUGGAAACUGGAAAACUUGAGUGCAGAAGAGGAAAGUGGAAUUCCAUGUGUAGCGGUGAAAUGCGCAGAGAUAUGGAGGAACACCAGUGGCGAAGGCGACUUUCUGGUCUGUAACUGACGCUGAUGUGCGAAAGCGUGGGGAUCAAACAGGAUUAGAUACCCUGGUAGUCCACGCCGUAAACGAUGAGUGCUAAGUGUUAGGGGGUUUCCGCCCCUUAGUGCUGCAGCUAACGCAUUAAGCACUCCGCCUGGGGAGUACGACCGCAAGGUUGAAACUCAAAGGAAUUGACGGGGACCCGCACAAGCGGUGGAGCAUGUGGUUUAAUUCGAAGCAACGCGAAGAACCUUACCAAAUCUUGACAUCCUUUGACAACUCUAGAGAUAGAGCCUUCCCCUUCGGGGGACAAAGUGACAGGUGGUGCAUGGUUGUCGUCAGCUCGUGUCGUGAGAUGUUGGGUUAAGUCCCGCAACGAGCGCAACCCUUAAGCUUAGUUGCCAUCAUUAAGUUGGGCACUCUAAGUUGACUGCCGGUGACAAACCGGAGGAAGGUGGGGAUGACGUCAAAUCAUCAUGCCCCUUAUGAUUUGGGCUACACACGUGCUACAAUGGACAAUACAAAGGGCAGCGAAACCGCGAGGUCAAGCAAAUCCCAUAAAGUUGUUCUCAGUUCGGAUUGUAGUCUGCAACUCGACUACAUGAAGCUGGAAUCGCUAGUAAUCGUAGAUCAGCAUGCUACGGUGAAUACGUUCCCGGGUCUUGUACACACCGCCCGUCACACCACGAGAGUUUGUAACACCCGAAGCCGGUGGAGUAACCUUUUAGGAGCUAGCCGUCGAAGGUGGGACAAAUGAUUGGGGUGAAGUCGUAACAAGGUAGCCGUAUCGGAAGG